UACGGAGGGUGCAAGCGUUAUCCGGAUUUACUGGGUUUAAAGGGUGUGUAGGCGGACUAUUAAGUCAGCGGUGAAAUCUCCGGGCUCAACCCGGAAACUGCCAUUGAUACUAUUAGUCUUGAAUGUUGUUGAGGUGGGCGGAACGGGUCAUGUAGCGGUGAAAUGCAUAGAUAUGACCCGGAACACCGAUUGCGAAGGCAGCCCACUAAGCAAUGAUUGACGCUGAGGCACGAAAGCGUGGGGAUCAAACAGG
rnacentral:rRNA from 1 species